AUAUCGGUAUACACACUUGUACAC
rnacentral:siRNA from 1 species